CUUUAAAUGCAGGCCUUUGAGGAAGCCAUUGCUGAGCUGGACACUUUGGGAGUGGAGUCUUACAAGGACAGCACUCUUAUCAUGCAACUACUAAGGGACAAUCUCACUCUUUGGACUUCAGAUAUGCAGGAUCAAAUAGACGAGGCUUGAGCUGAUGAACCAGUCUCUCCUCGAGGGAGGUGGGCUUGAAAUGUCAUAAUCUUUUUGUAAUUUGCAUGUAUAAAAUUGAACAUGUCCUCAUAUUCAUAGUAUGCACUGUAAUGAUUUGCUAAUUAAAACUUGCUCUGGUUUCAAAA